rnacentral:rRNA from 1 species
AUUGAACGCUGGCGGCACGCCUAAUACAUGCAAGUCGAGCGAGUGGAUUGAGAGCUUGCUCUCAAGAAGUUAGCGGCGGACGGGUGAGUAACACGUGGGUAACCUGCCCAUAAGACUGGGAUAACUCCGGGAAACCGGGGCUAAUACCGGAUAACAUUUUGAACCGCAUGGUUCGAAAUUGAAAGGCGGCCUCGGCUGUCACUUAUGGAUGGACCCGCGUCGCAUUAGCUAGUUGGUGAGGUAACGGCUCACCAAGGCAACGAUGCGUAGCCGACCUGAGAGGGUGAUCGGCCACACUGGGACUGAGACACGGCCCAGACUCCUACGGGAGGCAGCAGUAGGGAAUCUUCCGCAAUGGACGAAAGUCUGACGGAGCAACGCCGCGUGAGUGAUGAAGGCUUUCGGGUCGUAAAACUCUGUUGUUAGGGAAGAACAAGUGCUAGUUGAAUAAGCUGGCACCUUGACGGUACCUAACCAGAAAGCCACGGCUAACUACGUGCCAGCAGCCGCGGUAACAC